GACAGAGGGGGCAAGCGUUGCUCGGAAUCACUGGGCGUAAAGGGCGCGUAGGCGGGAAGCCAAGUCGGUCGUGAAAUCUCCGGGCUCAACCCGGAGGAGCGGCCGAAACUGGUUUUCUUGAGGGAGGCAGAGGAGUCUGGAAUUCCCGGUGUAGCGGUGAAAUGUGUAGAGAUCGGGAGGAACACCGGUGGCGAAGGCGGGACUCUGGGCCUACCCUGACGCUGAGGCGCGAAGGCGUGGGGAGCAAACGGG
rnacentral:rRNA from 1 species